CCACCGAUAUAUGCACCAAUUAUAGGAUUCAGUAACAUGAUGAUUGGCGCCUAUAUCAGAGGUA
rnacentral:pre_miRNA from 2 species